rnacentral:rRNA from 1 species
CUACGUGCCAGCAGCCGCGGUAAUACGUAUGUCGCGAGCGUUAUCCGGAAUUAUUGGGCAUAAAGGGCAUCUAGGCGGCCUGACAAGUCAGGGGUGAAAACCUGCGGCUCAACCGCAGGCCUGCCUUUGAAACUGACAGGCUGGAGUACCGGAGAGGUGGACGGAACUGCACGAGUAGAGGUGAAAUUCGUAGAUAUGUGCAGGAAUGCCGAUGAUGAAGAUAGUUCACUGGACGGUAACUGACGCUGAAGUGCGAAAGCCGGGGGAGCGAACAGGAUUAGAUACCCUGGUAGUCCCGGCCGUAAACGAUGAUUACUGGGUGUGGGCAGGAAGACUGUCUGUGCCGAAGCAAAUGCGAUAAGUAAUCCGCCUGGGGAGUACGGCCGCAAGGCUGAAACUCAAAGGAAUUGACGGGGACCCGCACAAGCGGUGGAGCAUGUGGUUUAAUUCGACGCAACGCGAGGAACCUUACCAGAUCUUGACAUCCCG